UACAGAGGGUGCUAGCGUUGUUCGGAAUCAUUGGGCGUAAAGCGCGCGUAGGCGGCUUUGCAAGUCGGGUGUGAAAUCCCCAGGCUUAACCUGGGAACUGCAUUCGAGACUGCAUUGCUAGAGUAUGGGAGAGGGAAGUGGAAUUUCCGGUGUAGCGGUGAAAUGCGUAGAUAUCGGAAGGAACAUCAGUGGCGAAAGCGACUUCCUGGACCAAUACUGACGCUCAUGUGCGAAAGCGUGGGGAGCAAACAGG
rnacentral:rRNA from 1 species